rnacentral:lncRNA from 1 species
GUGGUGGUGUGGCGGUUGCGGUGGCGGUGGCGGCGUCGCCCGUAAGGUCAAGGCCCUCUGCAAGCGCCCUACCCGACUCUUAUGCACCUUCGGGGUCACGUGACGCGGCUCAAGGUCUUCUCUCCCCACUCCUGCAAGCAUUGCACGGCCACGCCAUGCCACCCGCCGUUACCACCGACGGUGCAACAAGCGUGUCCCCCUUCCUCUUGUUGCCCUCUUGCUUCCCUACUCUUCUCUACCCUACCCUACCCUACCCUACUGUACCCUGCCCUACCCUUCCCUUUCCUCUCUGUCUUCCUGGCCCAACUCUCUUGUCCCUCGUCGUCUUGAAUGCGCCUGCUGCUGCCGUUGCUGCCUCAUCUUCUCGGUCGUUCCAAGUCGCGUAACUUCUCUCCCGAGGAACUUCUAUGAGCGUGGAUUCGGCUUUGAGCCGUUAGUACAAGUGAAUCUAUUUCUCACUUUACACGGGGGAGGGACCAUAGGGGAGGAGUAGUAUCGUAACGAUUUAAUGCGUGCACUGAGGUGGUUUUCUAUUAUAACCGCAGCCUCGAACAAAUAUGAUCUCUCCUCUAGAGAGAUAUAACCAAGAGAACAAAAGCUAUCCAAGUUUUCCGUGGGUAAUUUCAAAAAAAAAAAAAAAAAAUGCCAUAACUGUGGUUUAAAAUGUCAAGGAAUUCUAGACGUAAGAUUAGUUACGACAACAACGAGUACGUGCAACCAGCAACAACAACAACAGAUUUCAAAAUUACGAUUCGAUGAGACGAGUUGUUGUAUAAACGAUAUGGCAGGUGACACGGAAGAGAGAGAUCGACGACCCACGAAGAUUACUAUAUGUACGACGACGACGACGACGACUCUAUUUUAAGCGGGUCGAAAGUAUACACCACGCCAGGAGGAGUCCUCUCGUGAAGAGAAGUGUCUCUUCUCUCACAGAAGUUGACCGUGAAAGAAACGCAAAAGAAGAGACGAGCUGCUUGCUGUUCUGCUUGUAACUGUAUUACGUUUGCUGUUGCUGUUGCUGCUGCUGCUACUCUCAGUCGGCAGUCUCCUCUUCCUCCUUCACCUCCUCCUCCACCUUCACCUCUUCUUCCUCCUCCUCUUUAUCCUCUUCGUCUCGUCUCGUCUCAUCUCGUCGUGUCGUUCGUUCUUGUUGAGGAAAUGCGAGUCAAGUACAACGUCCGCUUGCGUCGGCGUCUCCUAUCAGGGAUGAUGAUUGUUCGCAAUGCAUUUUUUACGGGUCGAUCAUUCAAAGAAGAUCACACACACUCUCUCUAUCUAUCUCUUAUACUUCGUUUACGAUGAUUCAUAAACAAGGAAAGUCGUCUUUGAUAAUCUCCUGAUUUAUUUUUCUUUUCUUUUGAAUUUAAUUUAAUUAUCUCAAGAAAAAAAAUGGACAAACUAAUCUGAUCAUAUGUACAAUUUUAUUAUGUUACUUGAGUAAUAUAAUUAUGAGAUAAUUAGCAUAAUAAUAAGUAUGGAUUGGAUUCGUUCAUGAACGAAAUAUGAACGGAAGUCGAUCUUAAAACAUUGUGUGUGUGGUACGACACGAAGACGACGACGACGACGACGAGUAUUCGAACGGAGGAAUGAACGAACGAACGAACGAACGAAACAAAACGGUACCUCGAACUUUAAGUCUUUCUUUUCUUUUACUCUCAAAGGCCUUCUCUUCUCGCCGCGUAUAUAAAACGUCUCGCUUAUCUCAUGUUGCACUUCCUUCGUCUCGCACGUGUGUUUUUCUUCGCGAUACCGCUCUUCCUCUCUCUCUUUCUCUCUCUCGUAAGAAAUACGAUGUAUUGAAUUCACUAAUGUAACUAUACAUGUAUGUACAUAUUAUUUAUGCUCACGCGCGCGUGUGUGUGUAUACUUUUUUAUGUGUUUACAUAUAUAGA